UACCAUUUUUCGCGUAGUGUGAAUUGGAUGUGUGGGAAUGUAUAUAGAGAGCGCGCACAAUCAAAUCCAAAUGAAUGGUAAAGAAAGGGGUCUGGUCACUCCCAAUAGAGGAUUGAAGUAGGGUGACCCUUUAUUGCCUUAUCUCUUCAUCAUUUAUGCAAAAGGAUUAACACUUUUUUAAAAGUAGUUGGAGGCGAUGGGUGAAAUCCAUGGGAUUAAAGUGUGUCGAGGAUCUCCAAUCUUGACACACUUUUUGUUUGUUGACGACUACUUUCUCUUUUUUAGGGUCGAUGAUUGUGAAAUUAUGCAUUUUCAUAAUGCUUUACGCAUUUAUGAGCACACAUAUGAUCAAUCUAUUAACAUGGAGAAAUCAGAUAUCUUUGUCAAUACAAACACUUCGGUGAUUGUAAGAGAUAUGGUGAAGACAAUUUUUCAGGUGACGAAGGUUAUUGACCCUGGAAAGUGUCUUGGCUUACCUUCAAUGGUGGGCAGAAAAAGAAAACCGUAUUCAGCUGCCUAUGAUAGAGUGUUUGGAAGAGAGUUCAAAGUGUGACCGAAAAACAUCUUUCAGAACUGGGGCGCGAGGUGCUGCUUAAAUCGAUGGUUCAAUCAAUUCCGACCUAUUGCAUGAGUGUCUUUAUCCUCCCAACCACACUUGGGGAAGAGAUUCAGAAAAUGAUAAACUGUUUUUGGUGGGACUCAAAUAGAAACAAUGGUUGCGGUGGCAAUUGGUUGAAUUGGGAUCUGUUGGCCAUGAGGAAGGAAUACAAAUAUAUGGAGUUUAUACAUAUUUAUGGCUUUAAUUGGGAUAUGUUAGGGAAGUAGGGAUGGAAGCUUGCAACCAACCAUGAAACUAUAGUUACAUAUAUCAUCUGGAGGGGACUUUUUUAGAGGGUCGACUAGGCCACAAUCCAAGUUUCAUAUGGCGUAGUAUCACACUUCACAUGUAGUAAUCAUAGUAGGCAUGAGAUGGCGCGUUGUGGAUGGUAACAAAAUAAAUGUGUGGUGUGAACCUUGGCUACAUGACUUAAAGAAUUGCUUUAUCACAACUAUCAUGAAACUGGGCUUGGAACACAUGAAAGUGGGUGACUUGAUAAACCAACAGAUCGGUGGUUAGAGAAAUGUUUGAUUUGAAGUGGAGAAGAUAAUAUAGUCCACAUAGACCAAAAAAUAACAAAAGGAAAACAUGUUCCUUUGACGAACAAAGAUGAGUCUAUUGUACUUAAGGUAAAAUCAUGUUGAAUGAUAAUACUAUAAAACUUGUUGGACCAUUUGUCUUUGGCCUUUUCUUCAACCAUGCAAUGACUUGUGAAGCUUACAAACCAUAUUAUUAGCUAGUCUUCCCAUCCUUUGGAUAACCCAAAGGCAAAUGCAUAUAGGCAUCUUUUUCUAAGUCUCCGUUCAAAAAUGCAUUGUUUAUAUGUAUCAAGUUGUAACAUAGACCAAUAUUGUUGAAGCUGCCAAAGUGAGAAAAUCACGAAUCUUGUAAGUUUGGCUAUGAAUACACACAAAAACCUUAAGAUGAUGGUAA